rnacentral:sRNA from 1 species
GCACCCUUAAUACAACGAUCCUACAACAAAAAGUCAACAUUAAUGGACCACCCCGCCAGUUACUAGUGGAGUCAGAUGCUUUUGCCUGUCAUCUCUGCAGCGCGAUCAUUGAAAGCAUGGCUUCUGUUGGCUCGACCUCUUUGCAUGAGGAUAUUGACAGAUGCUAGCCUGCCUUAAAAAAAGGAUUGCAUCUUCAGGACAAGAAAGCAUACUUGAGUGGGAACUCGCGCCAAGUAGUUAUUUAGUCUGGAAAUGGCCAGUUUUAUCUUGAGGCUGUCGGUCAAGUUGAAAUUCGUUUCCCUCAUACAGAAGAUCAGUUAUCCCAUAUUCCCUCAUAAGGUAAGGACGUGAUGCCGCAAUCCUCCGCAAUAGCAGUGGUGAGACCGUUGUCCUUCUCACUUGUUGAGUUCGUCAGCUCAAUAGCAGGGGAAGAGCCGGGCUGAAGCGUUUGAUUAUUUCAGGUCGAUAAGGGGAUUUAUUUUUGAAAGUGGGGCAAGAGCAGGUUCUGUACCUAACCUGGGGCAAUUAGCCUAUUAUUUUAACUUGCAUACCACUGACGGAUAGCAGCAGCGUUUUUGCAGAUACACAGAUAUCUUCGUCUUCGGGUAAAUCCUAUUACCUAGGCACGACGAAAUGUUCCUGUGGGGGAAAAAAAACUGUUGGCCACCAGCUCCAUAUUCACAUCUUACCUGUUUGCUCCCCCUAUAAUAGGUGCCUGGAUACAAUAUUUGUUGGGAAAAGCCUC